GAAUAAGAAGCAAUUUAUGCAUUUAAUUUCGACUUAAAAAUAUGAGAUAAAUUUCUCCUUAUUUA
rnacentral:tRNA from 1 species